UUUGAAUACACCUGUGCUUUUCUUACCAUGACAUGUCAACAUGUCUGCCGUGAAAAAGGUCUGAUCAGAGAUCACUGUCACAGUCUGAGACGACAUGUAGAGCAAGUUUGAGAGAGAAACGUGCUUUGGAAAAGUGUACGUGGACGUUAAAGCCAGCGCUGUGGAGAGGGACAGUCAGCUGUAAACGCCAGCCGCAGCUUUCACAGACGACUUCGCUGGAGGACAGCGCUAAUUAGUCGUUGUGGCUACUGCCUUGGGACGGGGAGCCACUCCGCCGCCGGACCUGCGUUGCCACACGGACUGAUUGCUUGCCAAACCUUGCCUGCAGCUUGUCUCAUGAGCCCAGCUCGUCGCGGAUCGGAUGCGUAACCAUUUACCAGUGUCAAAACUAAAUUACCUCCUGCCCUGGCUCACCAAGACACCCUGAAUAGGAAGCCACACAUGACAAAGUAUGGAAGACUCCAUAAAGAGUCAUCGGGGAGAUGUCACUGCCUGUUCCAUCCCCUGGCAUCGAAACCACCUCCGUUGCAGCAAAAGACAAGAAGUUGCAGACGAGCUCUAGCUGCCCACAUGACCACUGGAAUACCAAGUAACUGUGAAUGGAGACAGCAGGGUCACUUUCCACUGGCAGGAGAGACAAGGUUCAGCACCAUGUGUCGAGAAUACAAACAACACCCCGGGUCCUUCACAGAUUGAGAAAACGCUCCCGUGGUUUUCGGAUGUGGGGCUGCAGGAUAUUUUGACGAUUCAUAUGACAAGCUGCUGGGUGCAUUAAAGGGCCAGUACGUUUUUCUGCCCCAUAACAGAAUGUGACCAUGAAAUAUCAGUUGAUGGUCGAUGGGGGUUGUUGAUCAAUACCAAUGACAGUAAAUUACUGGCACCGAGGUUUUUGUCUUUCACCUGAGUGUCAAGGUUUGCCAGA